CCUACGAGAGGCAGCAGUGAGGAAUAUUGGUCAAUGGGCGCGCGCCUGAACCAACCAAGUAGCGUGAAGGAUGACUGCCCUACGGGUUGUAAACUUCUUUUAUAAAGGAAUAAAGUGAGGCACGUGUGCCUUUUUGUAUGUCCUUUAUGAAUGAGGAUCGGCUAACUCCGUGCCAGCAGCCGCGGUAAUACGGAGGAUCCGAGCGUUAUCCGGAUUUAUUGGGUUUAAAGGGAGCGUAGAUGGGUUGUUAAGUCAGUUGUGAAAGUUUGCGGCUCAACCGUAAAAUUGCAAUUGAUACUGGCAGUCUUGAGGACAGUUGAGGUAGGAGGAAUGCGUGGUGUAGCGGUGAAAUGCUUAGAUAUCACGAAGAACUCAGAUUGCGAAGGCAGCUUACUAAACUGCCACUGACAUUGAUGCUCGAAAGUGUGGGUAUCAAACAGGAGUAGAUACCCCAGUAGUC
rnacentral:rRNA from 1 species